rfam:Exiguobacterium sp. AT1b, complete genome.
GAAAUCUUUUCGCCGAGUUCCGGAGACGGAAGCGGGGGACCCACCGUCCAAUCUGGACUGGGGUGAAUCCUCAAGUGAGGUAGGGCCAACCUAGGCAAGCCCGAAUCCGACAGCUAACCUCGUAGGCGUUAUUAGGGGGAUCC